rnacentral:rRNA from 1 species
CAGUAGCCGCGGGAAUACGAGGGGGGCAAGCGUUGUUCGGAAUUAUUGGGCGUAAAGGGCGCGUAGGCGGUUUGGCAAGUUUGGUGUGAAAUCUUCGGGCUCAACUCGAAGUCUGCACCGAAAACUGCCGGGCUUGAGUAUGGGAGAGGUGAGUGGAAUUUCCGGUGUAGCGGUGAAAUGCGUAGAUAUCGGAAGGAACACCUGUGGCGAAAGCGGCUCACUGGACCAUAACUGACGCUGAUGCACGAAAGCUAGGGGAGCAAACAUGAUUAGAUACCCGAGUAGUCCCUGUCUCUUAUAC